AUUGAACGCUGGCGGCAUGCCUUACACAUGCAAGUCGAACGGUAACGCGGGGCAACCUGGCGACGAGUGGCGAACGGGUGAGUAAUAUAUCGGAACGUGCCCAGAGGUGGGGGAUAGCCCGGCGAAAGCCGGAUUAAUACCGCAUACGACCUACGGGUGAAAGCGGGGGACCGUAAGGCCUCGCGCUAUUGGAGCGGCCGAUGUCUGAUUAGCUAGUUGGCGGGGUAAGAGCCCACCAAGGCGACGAUCAGUAGCUGGUCUGAGAGGACGACCAGCCACACUGGGACUGAGACACGGCCCAGACUCCUACGGGAGGCUG
rnacentral:rRNA from 1 species